rnacentral:lncRNA from 1 species
GAAGAGGUGCUGCUGGGGUGGUUGGAAGCCGGUGGGGGGCGGGUGUAUGGCGGCUAGGCCUGGAAGACCACGAGGACCGCUAGCGCCGUGGGGUCACUCUUCCUCAUGCCACAGGUUGCCGAGCCUCGGGGGAGAGGUGGGGUCCCAGGGGCCAACCCUUGGGUGUGUUGAUGGCGGCAGGCUAACCCAGCCAACGGGGUGCCACUGCCGGGCAAGGUGAGGAGCAAGAAGAUUUCCAGGGCUGGGAGGUAGAGGGCCAGGACCCCAAGGAGAGGGCUUACUGCGAGGAGCAGCCCAGGAUGGAUAAGGAGUUGAGGCCCCAGGGAUGCUGAGCCUGCACAAGUGGAAGUGACUGGCUACCAGACUCUGAAAAACCUAAGUCCUUUAGGGAAGACCACAAAAGCAUCCAACCACAGUCUGCGCUGCAGCCCGGCAGAACUAAGUCUUGGGCGCCGCGACGCCUUUCCUACGGAAUAGGUCCUGGAAGGAAGACCAUUUAAGGACUGGCGAGGAGAGCACGCCUUCCCUUCCGAAGGUGCGUUACCAGAUUGCUGCCGUUUUUGUGCUGGGUCAUCAGAGCAGAUUCCCCUCCAGGUUACAGAUUAAACUUAACUCUACCCGUGCUGAAAAUGGCCGGAGCACGCCGCCUCGCCUCCCCUCCCCAAGGCUGCCGGAGCCGCCGGCCCCUGCCUCCUUUUCGACGACUGAUCGUCCAAGGACUGGCGCCGGAUCCAACACCUUUCCCCAGCUCUGCGCGUACCGCGCUCUUUGGAAACGAAUUGGUCCCUGUCUGCUUCCAAGGGUCCCUGGAACCUUCUGCAGCUGUGCCUCUCCAGAGCUCCGCCUCAUUAGUGCCACGUUCCUGGUUUGAAAACCAUAGUACUUCAACCUCUUCUAGAUGGGAGUUAACCUUUGCCCUCUGAAAGAAAGGUUUGAUAAGCAAAGAGAGUUUGGUGAGCAAGAUCCUUGAGGUAAGAGCUGAUCUCUGACGUCCGCUGGGAACUGGCUGCUCUGCAGGUUUCUGUAUCACAUUUUCUGCACAUGUCCAUUAGAAUUGGAGAUGGGGCGUAUCUAGUGUUGAAUAAAGGCCCGGCAGGCCCUCCCAGAUGCACCCUGUCAGACAGAGCCUACUGUGGAUUCUUUAGAAAUGGCUUGACUCAUUCUUGGUGGCGACCACACCACCCACAGGCACCUAAAAUGAAAGGAUUUUUGUUAGCUGGUUACCACCAAACCACCUCAGGCAA